CGACAUUUUUACUCUUGUAUUUAGUUUAUUCACUUCACAGUAAUAUUUAAAAUUUAAAAACAGGUUUUUUCGCUUUGUUUUUAGUAAAAGAUUUGUUUGAAUUUUUGUGCGCUUGUUCAACGCUUUGUUAUUGCU